rnacentral:rRNA from 1 species
GACGAACGCUUGCGGCGUGCUUAACACAUGCAAGUCGAACGGAAAGGCCCUGCUUUUGUGGGGUGCUCGAGUGGCGAACGGGUGAGUAACACGUGAGUAACCUGCCCUUGACUUUGGGAUAACUUCAGGAAACUGGGGCUAAUACCGGAUAGGAGCUCCUGCUGCAUGGUGGGGGUUGGAAAGUUUCGGCGGUUGGGGAUGGACUCGCGGCUUAUCAGCUUGUUGGUGGGGUAGUGGCUUACCAAGGCUUUGACGGGUAGCCGACCUGAGAGGGUGACCGGCCACAUUGGGACUGAGAUACGGCCCAGACUCCUACGGGAGGCAGCAGUGGGGAAUAUUGCACAAUGGGCGGAAGCCUGAUGCAGCAACGCCGCGUGCGGGAUGACGGCCUUCGGGUUGUAAACCGCUUUCGCCUGUGACGAAGCGUGAGUGACGGUAAUGGGUAAAGAAGCACCGGCUAACUACGUGCCAGCAGCCGCGGUGAUACGUAGGGUGCGAGCGUUGUCCGGAUUUAUUGGGCGUAAAGGGCUCGUAGGUGGUUGAUCGCGUCGGAAGUGUAAUCUUGGGGCUUAACCCUGAGCGUGCUUUCGAUACGGGUUGACUUGAGGAAGGUAGGGGAGAAUGGAAUUCCUGGUGGAGCGGUGGAAUGCGCAAAUAUCAGGAGGAACACCGGUGGCGAAGGCGGUUCUCUGGGCCUUUCCUGACGCUGAGGAGCGAAAGCGUGGGGAGCGAACAGGCUUAGAUACCCUGGUAGUCCACGCUGUAAACGGUGGGUACUAGGUGUGGGGUCCAUUCCACGGGUUCCGUGCCGUAGCUAACGCUUUAAGUACCCCGCCUGGGGAGUACGGCCGCAAGGCUAAAACUCAAAGGAAUUGACGGGGCCCCGCACAAGCGGCGGAGCAUGCGGAUUAAUUCGAUGCAACGCGUAGAACCUUACCUGGGUUUGACAUGGAUCGGGAGUGCUCAGAGAUGGGUGUGCCUCUUUUGGGGUCGGUUCACAGGUGGUGCAUGGCUGUCGUCAGCUCGUGUCGUGAGAUGUUGGGUUAAGUCCCGCAACGAGCGCAACCCUUGUUCACUGUUGCCAGCACGUUAUGGUGGGGACUCAGUGGAGACCGCCGGGGUCAACUCGGAGGAAGGUGGGGAUGACGUCAAGUCAUCAUGCCCCUUAUGUCCAGGGCUUCACGCAUGCUACAAUGGCUGGUACAGAGGGUGGCGAGCCUGUGAGGGUGAGCGAAUCUCGGAAAGCCGGUCUCAGUUCGGAUUGGGGUCUGCAACUCGACCUCAUGAAGGCGGAGUCGCUAGUAAUCGCAGAUCAGCAACGCUGCGGUGAAUACGUUCCCGGGGCU